AACAUCGCGCACCUGCGGGAACCUGCGGAGGGAUCAUUACUGAGUUUAUCGGGGGGCUCGUCCCCCCGGAAACCUCCACCCAGUGCUUAGAUGACCCGCCUUGUCGUUGCCUCGGCGGGGUGCACAGCAGUGCCCCCCGCCGGCGGACAGCACGCAAAAACCCUGAUAUUAACUGUGCAGUCAGAGCCCUCGUGGCAGAACACAAAACAGUCAAAACUUUUAGCAAUGGAUCUCAGAUCG
rnacentral:misc_RNA from 1 species